ensembl:snoRNA small nucleolar RNA, H/ACA box 68
ACUGCACACAAACCCAAAGGCUAUUACCAUCAUUUGUAAUAUUCUUUUUAAUUGUGUGCACAAAUUAAAACAGUACCUUGUCGCCUUCUACAUGCUGCUGUGCUGCUGGAAGUGAAUUCAAGGUUCAACAUUU